rnacentral:rRNA from 1 species
GACGUAGGUGGCGAACGUUAUCCGGAAUUAUUGGGCGUAAAGCGUGCGCAGGCGGCUUUGCAAGACAGAUGUGAAAUCCCCGGGCUUAACCUGGGAACUGCAUUUGUGACUGCAUGGCUGGAGUGCGGCAGAGGGGGAUGGAAUUCCGCGUGUAGCAGUGAAAUGCGUAGAUAUGCGGAGGAACACCGAUGGCGAAGGCAAUCCCCUGGGCCUGCACUGACGCUCAUGCACGAAAGCGUGGGGAGCAAACAGG